rnacentral:rRNA from 1 species
UACGUAGGGGCCUAGCGUUGUCCGGAAUUAUUGGGCGUAAAGAGCUCGUAGGCGGUUCGGCAAGUCGGAUGUGAAAUCUCCACGCUUAACGUGGAGGGGCCAUUCGAAACUGCUGUGACUCGAGUCCGGUAGGGGAGUGUGGAAUUCCCGGUGUAGCGGUGAAAUUCGUAGAUAUCAAGCGGAACACCGGUGGCGAAGGCGGCCUUCUGGACGAUGACUGACGCUGAGACGCGAAAGCGUGGGGAGCAAACAGG